AUCUUCAAGAUAGAAUACAAUUGGUCCGCUGUCUGCUGGAAAGGUUAUGACUGUGGAUGCAAAUGAUUUUCUCGCUAACCAGAACACGGGCCGAGGGUCACGGGAGGUCACUGCCUCUCGCUGUGUGCCGGUAGCAGACACAGACGGUUAAUGACCGGGCACAGCAUCAAAGAGCCAGGAUAUGAAAACAUCUGCUGAAAGACUCAUCAGUUCAACACCAACAUUCCAAACACAGGUGACUGCUUUCCUGUUCCUCAUGUUGUUAUUGUUUUAUGAAACGAGUCGUGGUUUUGAUUAACAUAGCUGACAGAUUUGCUUAGAUCUGACGUAGUUGGAUAUGGUCUCGUAACACAUGAGUCAUGGCAUCUGCAUUGCAUUUUGAAUUAGAUUCCUGUACAAGACAAAGUUUGCGCGUGCGUGCUUGCGUAGGUGCGUGUUUGUUCAUGUUGGUGUGAGGUCAAUAACUAAAGUGACAGGAGGUCAAACACAACAUAGGUUCUGCUGUAGGAGAGUUAUGUACAGUGGGGCAAAAAAGUA